UGGAGCUUCUUACUGAAGGAGGAGAUUGUGUACUAAUCUCUCGGCACCUUGAAAAUUGGUCAGUUUAGAAGAAAGAGGGCAUUGGCCUGUCACAUAAGGAGAUCUCUAUCUGCUGUGGGGACGUCCGUGUGGCCAUGUGCAUGGAGGAGAUGACCUCUGGGCCCUCUGUCGACUGGUUUCAUGUGUUUGACAGGCCCCAGCGUUUGUAAGUUGUAAGUUGUCCAGUGGCCCAGUAGAGCCAGGCAGGUUGUACACCAUUGAGAGCCCAAGCAUCUUCACGCAAAGCAGAUGCUCUCUCUGUACAGAGUUGUGCAGUCCCUCCCAAGAUCUUUCUGCAU
rnacentral:lncRNA from 1 species